AUGGACAGGCUUCCCUUCUACCUCCUGCCCCUGGUUUUCUCCACAGGGCUCUGUGCUCCUCCUGUGCUGACCCAGCCCCCAUCAGCUUCUGCGUCCCUGGGAGCCUCGGCCAAGCUCACCUGCACCCUGAGCAGUGAGCACAGAACCUACACCAUUGCGUGGUAUCAGCAACAGCCCGGGAAGGCCCCUCGCUAUUUGAUGUACGUUAGGAGUGAUGGAAGCCACGGCAAGGGGGAUGGGAUCCCCAAUCGCUUCUCGGGCUCCAGCUCUGGGGCUGACCGCUACUUAACCAUCUCCAACCUCCAGCCUGAGGACGAGGCUGACUAUUACUGUAACACAUGGGAUGGCAAUACUAAUACUCACAGUGACACAGACAGAUGGGGAAGUGAGACACAAACCUCCCUCCACAUCUGUGUCACCCAUUCCUCUAGCCCUAGGGGACUAUACAAGAAGCCAUGA